rnacentral:rRNA from 1 species
UACGUAGGGGGCUAGCGUUGUCCGGAUUUAUUGGGCGUAAAGAGCGUGUAGGCGGCCAGGUAGGUCUGCUGUGAAAACUCGAGGCUCAACCUCGAGAUGUCGGCGGAAACCAUCUGGCUAGAGUCCGGAAGAGGAAAGUGGAAUUCCUGGUGAAGCGGUGAAAUGCGCAGAUAUCAGGAAGAACACCCGUGGCGAAGGCGGCUUUCUGGGACGGUACUGACGCUGAGACGCGAAAGCGUGGGGAGCGAACAGG